rnacentral:tRNA from 1 species
GCCCUGGUGGCGGAAUUGGCAGACGCGCAUGGCUCAGGACCAUGUGGGGGCAACCCCAUAGAGGUUCGACUCCUCUCCAGGGCA